CGUGUAGGCGGCUCAUCAAGUCUGGUGUGAAAACGCAAGGCUUAACCUUGCGUAGGCGCUGGAAACUGGUGGGCUUGAGUUCCUGAGGGGAAGCUGGAAUUCCAGGUGUAGGGGUGAAAUCUGUAGAUAUCUGGAAGAACACCGGUGGCGAAGGCGAGCUUCUAUCAGAGGACUGACGCUGAGGCGCGAAAGCGUGGGGAGCAAACAGGAUUAGAUACCCUGGUAGUCCACGCUGUAAACGAUGUGCACUAGGCGUGGGGCCCGUACGGGUUCUGUGCCGUAGUUAACGUGUUAAGUGCACCGCCUGGGGAGUAUGCUCGCAAGGGUGAA
rnacentral:rRNA from 1 species